GGUGUUUCUAGAAAGGGAGGGGGAAAAAAAGAACUCACCCUGGAUCUAGGCCACACUACCUCACUGCUUGGGGACCACAACUGAAUGUAACAGAGAGCCAGCAUCCAUCUCUCAGCUUGUUGGUUGUGGAUACAAUGUAACAAGAUGUAACAAGCCACCUCCAUCUCCUACUGCCAUGAUUUCUUUACCGUAUUAGCUGUACCCCCAAACUGAUGAGGAAACAGAGGCUUUGGAGGAGAGAGAACCCGAGGAUGGUCACAGCUGAUACAGACCUGGAUCACGUCUCAUGUCAGGAUAACUUCCGGCUCCGGCUUCAAAAGCAGGCCUGAAGUGAUGUGUACAGCCUGUAUCGUAGACAUGAACGAAACUCUGUGCGUUAAGCAGGGAUAAGGCAUGCCUAAUGUGAUGGGUCAAGUCUGUAAUGCCUGCACGUGGGAGCUGAGGCUGAAAGACAUAAGCUUGAGACCAGCUGGAACUAGACACGGCUCCGGGUGUCCUUAUAUCCUUCAUGUGUCCAGUACAAUAGGGGAGCUAUGAAUCAGCAGAGAUG